AUGGAUGAAGGACUAUUUGUUUUGGUGACACUGGUAGACACAUCAGGCGAAGAUGAUCUGCUUACAGAUAAUAUGCUCUUCCUUGUUGCUGAAGGAACUGAGUUUGAGCCCAGUGAAGCAGCUGGAUAUCGCCCAUCACUUGCACUCCCUCUUACAAGGUAUAGGAAAAAGAUUAGCAGAUCUGUACAUGCGGAAGUAGUAGAAAUUAGCCAAGUACAGUUAGAACUACGAAGGGGAUACCCCUCACAUGUAAGAGAAGAUCUUCGUUGUGACUGGGACGCUGGUGGCAGAGCGGAGGAUCACUCGUCCUCUUCAGCACCCGGGAUCUCCUUCCACGCCUCAAUCAUUCGGUUAAUCGACUCUCGCACAACCUUGACCUUGUCAAACCUUCUGGCCUUGAAGAAGGUGACGCAAGAGGAUUUGUAG
rnacentral:lncRNA from 1 species